AUGCAGCCAAAUACAUCACUGAAGGUUCUUCUGCUGCCACUGCCCUUGCACUGGCUCCGUGAUGAAUGGCUCAUAAGACUUGAAAGUCGAACAAAGCAUCUCAAGAACUUCCGUGACGCACAGGCCGUAAAACUAACAUCAGCCAAGCAAACAGAUAAAGAAUGAUAAGUUGUACAUUUCUAAUGUAAAAUUAUCCAAAUGUUUCUUAAUAAUACAGAUCAAUAAAACAUCACAAAAUAUCUCUGCCUCCUCUCUC
rnacentral:lncRNA from 1 species